UACGGAGGGUGCAAGCGUUGUUCGGAAUUAUUGGGCGUAAAGCGCGUGUAGGCGGACAGCUAAGUCCGGUGUGAAAUCCCUCGGCUCAACUGAGGACGUGCACUGGAUACUGGCAGCCUUGAGUCCUGGAGAGGGUAGCGGAAUUCCCAGUGUAGAGGUGAAAUUCGUAGAUAUUGGGAGGAACACCGGUGGCGAAGGCGGCUACCUGGACAGUGACUGACGCUGAGACGCGAAAGCAUGGGUAGCAAACAGG
rnacentral:rRNA from 1 species